rnacentral:lncRNA from 1 species
CUCUAGAAUCUCUCUAAUUAAAGACAUUCACCUUAAAUAGAAGUGUAUUUAUAACAACAAGAAAAUAAUCAAAAGACAUAGGAAAAUUAUCAAAGAAAAGAGAGUACUGAUGUUAUCUGCCACGGAUCGAUGAAGACGAUGAACUUGGUCGAAUGCUCUGGUUGGGUCUGGGACAGAUGAAUCUUGACACGAACCAUAAUUGUCGUCAAUCGAUUGUUCUACGCCAAAAUCAUCGCUUAACGACAGUUCUGAGUCGAGUCGAGUCUCGAGAGCGCUGGAACUGAAGCGUCGCUUUAUUUUCCUCCUUUUUUUAUUUUCCAGUUCGGAAUUGAAGUGAAGAUGCGUGGCUUUUUGGGAAAAUUGGUGCCAGAUUGAUGUUUGAAGCUGUAUGAGGAACUGAUGGUUAGAAUUUAGAGCAGGGCUGCCGGACGAAGAUGGCGGAUGAACAAGGGCAACGUUGAGGCUCGUCGGGGGAGAUGAGAGAUAGAGAGGGCUUGGUCUUUGAGUAAUGAGGAGAAUUUC